rnacentral:rRNA from 1 species
ACUCAAAUGAAUAGACGGGGACCCACACAAGCAGUGGAUCAUGUUGUUUAAUUCGACAAUAAACGAGAAACCUUACCCAGGCUUGACAUCGAAGGAAUCUGCCCGAAAGGGCGGAGUACCCGCAAGGGACCUGAAGACAGGCGCUGCAUGGUUGUCGUCAGCUCGUGCCUUGAGGUGUUCGGUUAAGUCCGUUAACGAGCGCAACCCAUGUCGUUAGUUACUAUGUCUAACGAGACUGCCUGAGUUAAUCAGGAGGAAGGUGUGGAUGACGUCAAAUCAGCAUGGCCCUUAUGCCUGGGGCUACAAACAUGAUACAAUGGUCGGUACAAAGAGCUGCGAACCCGCGAGGGCAAGCCAAUCUCAUAAAGCCGAUCUCAGUCCAGAUCGGAGGCUGCAACCCGCCUCCGUGAAGUUGGAAUUGCUAGUAAUCGUGAAUCAGCUAUGUCACGGUGAAUCCGUUCCUGGGUCUUGUACACACCGCCCGU